AAAACAUGUAGAAGCACUUUUAAAUGUA
rnacentral:piRNA from 1 species